GAUGGGUAAAGACACUAAGAGAGCAGCAUUAGAAAAGGUUCGUGCUAUAAAAUUUCGUAUUGAACACUCUAGAGAGCUAUUGCAUGAUUCGAACGCAUUUGGUGCAUACGAAAAUCUGCACCUUAACGAUAAAAGCUUUUUCGACAAUGCACUGAGCGUUCGUAAGUGGGUAACUGACAAAUACUUUUCUCAGCUUUGGAUGCCUAAGAAAGUGGAAGAGU